GCCGGGCAUAGUGGUGUAUGCCUGUAGUCCCAGCUACUCAGGAGGCUGAGGCAGGAGGAUCAACUGAGCUCUAGGGAGGUUGAGGCUGCAGUGAGUGGUGGUGGUACCACUGCACUCCAGCCUGGGCAACAAGGUGAGAUCCUAUCUCAA
ensembl:misc_RNA Metazoa_SRP Metazoan signal recognition particle RNA